rnacentral:misc_RNA from 1 species
GAUGAAGAACGUAGCGAAAUGCGAUAAGUAAUGUGAAUUGCAGAAUUCAGUGAAUCAUCGAAUAUUUGAACGCACAUUGCGCCCCUUGGUAUUCCGAGGGGCAUGCCUGUUCGAGCGUCAUUUCAACCCUCAAGCACAGCUUGGUCUUGGGCUUCGCCGCUAACCCGGCGGGUCUUAAAAUCAGUGGCGGUGCCGUCGGGCCCUGAGCGCAGUAAUCUCUCUCGCUAUAGGGUCCCGGCGGAUGCUGGCCAGUAACCCCCAAUUUUCUAUGGUUGACCUCGGAUCAGGUAGGGAUACCCGCUGAACUUAAGCAUAUCAAUAAGCGGAGGA